rnacentral:rRNA from 1 species
AUGAGCUGUCUGAGUUGGAACUGCCGGGGGCUUGGGAACGAGGCAGUUCGAGAGCUUCACAGCAUUGUGAAGCUAGAAGGACCCACCCUCCUCUUUGUUAUGGAAACAAAAAUCAGUGCGAAAAGAGUUGAGGAUUUGAAGUACACUCUAGGUUUUGGAGGUUGUUUUGCUGUAGACAGUGCUGGCCUUAGUGGCGGUAUUGGUCUUUUCUGGUCUCGAGAUGUAAUCGUCGAGUUAAAGAAUUUUAGUCAGAUGCAUAUUGAUGCGGUUGUCCAAAGUAAUGAUCAAGCUACAUCAACAUGGCAUUUCACUGGUAUUUACGGGGCACCAAGAGCUGAAAGUCGUCACCACAGCUGGCAGACUCUUUGUUCCCUUCAUGCAAUACCUCAUGCGGCGUGGCUGUGUGCAGGUGAUUUUAACGAAACUCUGUUUGCCUUUGAGCACUUUAGCAGAGCAGAGCGGCCGGAGAGACAAAUGCGUGCUUUUAGGGAGGUCAUCGAUGAAGUUUCAUUAUAG